CAGAGUUUACUCUAAAAGAGUCUGGCCCUGGGAUACUGCAGACCUCCAAGACGCUCAGUCUUACUUGCUCUUCCUUGGGUUUUCACAGAGAACUUCUGGUUUGGUCAUGAGCGGGAUCUGUCAGCCAUCAGGGAACUGUCUGAGGUAGUUGGCAUUAGUUGAUGGAAUGAUGACAAGUACUACAACCCUUCUCUGAAGAGCUGGAUCACAAUAUCCAAGGACACCUCCACCAACCAACCAUUCCUCAAGACCACCACUGUGGACACUGCAGACACUGCCACAUAUUAAUGUGCU